AAGCUUGUUUUUGAAAUAAUGUAGUUUAUGGAAUUUUAUAGUUUUUAAUGAGUUAUUUUUAAAUCAAUUUUAUGUUUAGUUUGGCUGAUAUUGUUUUGUGCUUUAUGUUUUGUUUAUUAUUAACACCUUGUACAUACAUUUAUACAGUGAUGGUCAGUUAUAGGCUACUCAUCGCUUGUGUAUUCAAAGAAAAAACUGUGCUUUCCAAAGCACUUUUAUAAAAAAAAUAUAUAUAUAUAUUUUUAACACAAACAUUUCCAAAGUGUAGGAUAAAAAAAUGCUAAUUUGAUGUGUUUAAUUUCUAUCUGAAAACUUGUGUCUUUUAUUUUCUAAUCUCUUUUGUAUUCGUUGUAAGACGCUGGAGCCAUAAAUGUUCGAAAGUCAUACACUUAACAACGACGUUUACUGUUCACAACCUAGGUUCUUCGUUAAAUAUUGCUAGUUCACUAAUUUUGUUUUAGUGUAUUGUUGCACUUCACCUUAUGAAUUUGGCCAAGACUGCUGCUAAACUUAUUUAAAUAGUACAAAUAAAGGUUAGGCAUGAAGAUUCUAGAUAAUGACACGCAUUCUAAUACCGUUUGGCUCAUACGAUCAUAUACCUAAAGAUGGAACCAAUUGCAAAGAGUUCUGACGGUUUUUCAGUCGCAGACCUUCUUCAAAUUUAGGUCUUGCAGAUCAUCGAAAAUUGAUCGUCGUCUCAGUUUAGUAUAUGCUGGAUAUAAGAAGAGGAAGUCUUCGAUGUUCUCGAUUUCACCAUCAUCCCAACAGCUGCAGCAGUAGGCGUUCGCUGGAAAUCCUAUUCUGCUAGAAAGAAUUCCCUUUAAACAGUGGCCAAUGAUGAUUCCAACAACCAGCUUAUCCCCAGCGGUACUCUAGCAUCGUAGGAGGUAUUAAUGGCCACAACAGCUGUGCAUUUCGUUGCCAAUAUUUGAGUGCCAGAUCGUUAUGUUAUUCCUGCACUUUUGUAUAGAUGAAGAAGACAAUUUAAAUAUUUAACUGGAGCUCAAAAUGAAGUUGUAUUUGUUGCCAUUAAAUUCAGAGUUUUAGAGCAAUUUUGAAUGGAUGGUCAAAAAAGGUUAGAGCAGUGACUUCCAAUGCUCGUUGUUCUUGUUACUUUCAACAUAAAAAACGCUUAAGGAACGCUCUUGUACUGACAAUUCUUGGACUGUCAUGCGAAAGGCCUCUGUAACUUUCAAAGUGUCUUCUAAAUGAUCUUCUUCUGACUUUUUAUGCAUCACUUCUCUCGGUUGAUUGCUUAAUGCCUCUGGCAUCAGAUUGGUAGGAUAUUCAGGGUACGCCAGGAGGCUGUGUUGUGUGGGCUCUCUCACAAAACGUUUGAAAGCGGCUUUAGAAGAUGAAAUUCAAAUAUGCCGAACGCUUUCCAUUCAGUUCAAGUAUAUAAUUUUGCUCACUCAAAUUUGAAUCGAUUAAUGAGCAACAGAUCUAUGCGAUGGGCCAAUUUCCUUGAGAGAACUUGAUAAAUUUUUUUAGAAGUUUUUCGUUUUUAUUUGCAAAAUUAAAUUUUUUCGCUUUGAGCACUUAGAAGAUGCUAAUCCACCAGUUGUGUUCGGACCUAAUUUAAUUGCCCUGUAUUCACUUAGUGUGUUUUUUAUGUAUAUUUGAUGGAUAGCAAUUUUUAUUUGUCCACUGUUUGUUGGUAAAACGCAAGGGACCUUAGCAUAUCAAAAAAGAUUCAAUUAGAAAAGGCCUCGGAAGACUCAAAAACGUAAAAGCGUUGACUGCACUAUUGGAAUGUCUAUGAAAAGUAUUUCCUUGUUUGCAGUUCGCCCACUUUUUGCGUUCAGGCGAACAGCUAAAUGUGGCAGACACUUUAGCUUUUGAAAAAAAAUGCAUUGAAAUUUCAGAGGAAAU